UGGGCAACCUGCCCCAGACUCAGGGAUAACCCCGGGGAAACCGGGGCUAAUACCCGAUACUCCGAUCGAACCACAUGGCUCGAUCGGGAAAGCUCCGACGGUCUGGGAUGGGCCCGCGGCCUAUCAGCUUGUUGGUGGGGUCAUGGCUCACCAAGGCGACGACGGGUAGCUGGUCUGAGAGGACGACCAGCCACACUGGAACUGAGAUACGGUCCAGACCUCCGUACGGGAG
rnacentral:rRNA from 1 species